ensembl:snRNA U6 U6 spliceosomal RNA
GUGCUCACUUCAGCAGCAUAUAUACUAAAAUUGGAAUGAUUCAGAGAUUAGCAUGGCCCCUGUGCAAGGAUGACAUGCAAAUUCAUGCAGUGUUCCACAUUUUU